GUAUUGUUCUUCGAAUCUUUAUUGUUGGAAUGCAUUAACGAUGCAUUCCAAGUAUUGUUCUUCGAAUCUUUAUUGUUGGAAUGCAUUGAGAUGCAUUCCAAGUAUUGUUCUUCGAAUCUUUAUUUCCGACUUAUUAUUAUGUUUCUUCUAUUUCUUCCGCGCCGCCUUUCAACUCCUUCACAUUUUCAGCUAUUAAAAUCCUUCAAAUAUUAAAAUGUUCAGCUUCUUUCUGGCUUGAGGGCUAUGACUUUUCAGCUUUCUACCUCUUAAGCUUGAAUUUAUAUAAAUCAAUAAUCAUUAAUAUUUUAACAUGGUUUUCAAAUGGAGUUUGCUUUCAAAUCCUCCUAAACUUCUUCAACUUUCAGAUUUUUCAGCUUCGCCAAUCUUUCAGCUACAGACACCAUUUAAACUUUCAAAUGUUGACACAAGUCUCAACUAUUUUAUGAAAAAAACUGCUUGUUGAUAUCUAUUGUACUUUUUUCAUAAUCACUGAUUAUGUUUCACUAGUUUUUCGCUCCGUUUCUGACUUUUACAUGAGUGUGUAUUGCGUCUGCUAGAGUGGAGAGCUCGCGGGCUAGAGUGUGGGGCAUCGCAGGAAUCUGGUUAAAAAAUAUGGAACUUCUGUCCUUGCAGCCAAAGUAUACACUCUAGAGGCUUCAUUUCUUCAGAUUAAUG
ensembl:lncRNA